AACGAACGCUGGCGGUAUGCUUAACACAUGCAAGUCGAACGAACGAGACCCUAGCUUGCUAGGGUCAAGUUAGUGGCAAACGGGUGAGUAACACGUGGGAAUCUACCCAGUAGUACGGAAUAACAGUUGGAAACGACUGCUAAUACCGUAUAGUAUCGAGAGAUUAAAGAUUUAUCGCUACUGGAUGAGCCCGCGUCAGAUUAGGUAGUUGGUGGGGUAAUGGCCUACCAAGCCGAAGAUCUGUAGCUGGUCUGAGAGGAUGAUCAGCCACACUGGAACUGAGACACGGUCCAGACUCCUACGGGAGGCAGCAGUGAGGAAUAUUGGACAAUGGGCGAAAGCCUGAUCCAGCAAUACCGCGUGAGUGAAGAAGGCCUUAGGGUUGUAAAGCUCUUUCAGCAGGGAAAAUAAUGAUGGUACCUGCAAAAGAAGUUCCGGCUAACUCCGUGC
rnacentral:rRNA from 1 species